rnacentral:rRNA from 1 species
GGAUUAGAUACCCUGGUAGUCCACGCCGUAAACGAUGUCUACUAGCAGUUUGGAGCUUAAGCUCUGUCUUGCGCAGCUAACGCAUUAAGUAGACCGCCUGGGGAGUACGGCCGCAAGGUUAAAACUCAAAUGAAUUGACGGGGGCCCGCACAAGCGGUGGAGCAUGUGGUUUAAUUCGAUGCAACGCGAAGAACCUUACCAUCUCUUGACAUCCAGAGAAUUUAGUAGAGAUACUUUAGUGCCUUCGGGAACUCUGAGACAGGUGCUGCAUGGCUGUCGUCAGCUCGUGCCG